rnacentral:rRNA from 1 species
UACGUAGGGUCCAAGCGUUAAUCGGAAUUACUGGGCGUAAAGCGUGCGCAGGCGGUUCGUUAAGUCAGCUGUGAAAGCCCCGGGCUCAACCUGGGAAUGGCGGUUGAAACUGGCGAACUUGAAUCUGGCAGAGGGGGGUGGAAUUCCACGUGUAGCAGUGAAAUGCGUAGAGAUGUGGAGGAACACCGAUGGCGAAGGCAGGUCUCUGGGCUGACACUGACGCUCAUGCACGAAAGCGUGGGGAGCAAACAGG